rnacentral:pre_miRNA from 1 species
UGUAAACAUCCUACACUCUCAGCUGUGGUCUGACUGAGCUGGGAGAGGGAUGUUUGCUCA